rnacentral:rRNA from 1 species
CCCGCACAAGCAGCGGAGCAUGUGGCUUAAUUCGAUGCAACGCGAAGAACCUUACCUACCCUUGACAUGUCCGGAACUUGCCAGAGAUGGCUUGGUGCCCGAAAGGGAAUCGGAACACAGGUGCUGCAUGGCUGUCGUCAGCUCGUGUCGUGAGAUGUUGGGUUAAGUCCCGCAACGAGCGCAACCCUUAUCAUUAGUUGCUACGCAAGGGCACUCUAAUGAGACUGCCGGUGACAAACCGGAGGAAGGUGGGGAUGACGUCAAGUCCUCAUGGCCCUUAUGGGUAGGGCUUCACACGUCAUACAAUGGUCGGUACAGAGGGUUGCCAAGCCGCGAGGCGGAGCCAAUCCCACAAAGCCGAUCGUAGUCCGGAUUGUUCUCUGCAACUCGAGAGCAUGAAGUCGGAAUCGCUAGUAAUCGCAGGUCAGCAUACUGCGGUGAAUACGUUCCCGGGUCUU